GAUUCUGCUGAAGCCAAGAUUCCAGCUGUUCUUGAUUAUCUUGGAACUGUAAUCGAGAAAAAAAAGGUUGGUUGUAUCCGGAUUGAUGGAGGUACACCUUCUGGAUCAAGGCAACAGUUGGUUACAGAGUUUCAGGAAAAAGAUUCUAUCAAGGCAGCAGUGCUAUCUAUCAAAGCUGGAGGUGUCGGGUUAACAUUGACUGCUGCCAGCACCGUCCUCUUUGCAGAAUUGUCUUGGACUCCUGGUGAUCUAAUUCAGGCCGAAGACCGUGUUCAUAGAAUUGGAUAGGUAUAUU